UACGUAGGGUGCGAGCGUUAAUCGGAAUUACUGGGCGUAAAGCGUGCGCAGGCGGUUCGUUAUGUCCGAUGUGAAAGCCCCGAGCUCAACUUGGGAAUGGCAUUGGAAACUGGCGGGCUGGAGUGUGGCAGAGGGGGGUGGAAUUCCACGUGUAGCAGUGAAAUGCGUAGAGAUGUGGAGGAACACCGGUGGCGAAGGCGGCCAUCUGGACCGGCACUGACGCUGAGGCGCGAAAGCGUGGGGAGCAAACAGG
rnacentral:rRNA from 1 species